rnacentral:rRNA from 1 species
AGCAGUCGCCGCGGGAAUACCGAGGGUGCAAACGUUGUUCGGAAUUACUGGGCGUAAAGCGAGUGUAGGCGGUCUCAAAAGUCAGGUGUGAAAGCCCUGGGCUCAGCCCAGGAAGUGCACUUGAAACUGCGAGGCUAGAGUACUGGAGAGGUUGGUGGAAUUCUCGGUGUAGAGGUGAAAUUCGUAGAUAUCGAGAGGAACACCGGUGGCGAAGGCGGCCAACUGGACAGAUACUGACGCUGAGGUGCGAAAGCGUGGGGAGCAAACAGGAUUAGAUACCCCAGUAGUCCCUGUCUCUUAUAC